rnacentral:rRNA from 1 species
GCGAAUAUCUGGCAAGCAGCGGCGGGAGUAAGGAGGGGUGGGGGGUUGGCUGGAAUGAUGGGUCGUAAAGGGUGCGGAGGCGGGUGGUCGCGUCGGGAGUGAAAACCUCAUGCUUAACAUGUGGCUUGCUUUCGAUACGGGCAGACUAGAGGUAUGCAGGGGAGAACGGAAUUCCUGGUGUAGCGGUGAAAUGCGCAGAUAUCAGGAGGAACACCGGUGGCGAAGGCGGUUCUCUGGGCAUUACCUGACGCUGAGGAGCGAAAGUGUGGGGAGCGAACAGGAUUAGAUACCCGGGUAGUC